rnacentral:rRNA from 1 species
AGCUUGGUCCGGCAAUUUUGCGAAGAUUCCUCCUCCGAAGAUGAGUAACUCGUGAUGGCUGCAAUGAUAGUAGAGGAAGAACAAGCCCGGUUGGAUGCUCCACGACACGGAGGUUUACAACCGGGACAUCAAUCUCUUCAGCACUAUUUUGUGGGACGCUUUCAGAACCUCCACAAGGACUAUUUUGCAUAGCACAGUAUCUUCAAGGCAAGGAUGUUUCGCAAUAGGUAUGAAACCGAUGCAUCUGUUUUGGUUUUGCUAUAG